CAGCCCAGGCCCUCUUUUGAGCCUCUUGGGAAUGUCUGUCCUCUCCCCUAAUUCUCAGGUUAUUUGAAUCCCUGAGGUGUGUGGCAUGGCCGUCAAAAGCUUGGCCUCUGGACUGUUUGGGCCUGACCCCUACACCUGCCACUGGCUGACUAUGCCUCAGUUUCCCUAUUUGUUAAAAGCCUGUCAUGUGUUGUGAGGAGGACAUGCAAGAGCUUGUGAAGUACGCAGUGUGCUGUCUGGUGGCCGGCAGCCUGGGAUAAUGAUGGUUAUUUCCCUUAGGGGAGUGGAGAAAACCCUAGUUCAGAUGAAGCUGGAGAGCCUGGUCCAGGUGGAAACCUGCCCUUUAUCACACACGAUUCCAGGCUUGGCUCUUUGCCUCCCCGGUGGAGGCUCCUCACCUCAUUCUCCAAGAUGCGUGCCUUCUCCAGGCCCGAGCAUUUGGUGCCCAAGCAUUCGGUGACUGACCUUCCCCAAAAGGUCAGGUCCUACUUCCUCUCCCAACUCAGGGGUUAACUCCAUUUUAUUGUCACACCACUUUUGUUCUUUUGUACAUACUGGUUUCUCUUUUGUACAUAUUGGUGUGUGUACACAUUGGUGUUUGUCCUCCCUGCACGUCUGUAGGCAGAAAGGCAGAUGUACUGGCUUUUUUGAUCGUGGGACAUCUUGGAGGAGCUGAGUGUCAACUAAUGUUUUAGAAAAGCAUGCCUUUCGUCCCAGGCUCCUCAGAGCUUCUCUAUGGCUGGGGAGGGUGAGGCCAGGAGAAGGCCAUGCAGGUGGACGAGGUAGGAUGCUUUCAGCAGCAGGUAAGGUAAGGCCCAGCUCAAACUACUCAAAGACCAAUUAUUGUCUCACCCAGCAGAUGUCCAGAGGCAUUGUAUCCUGUGGUCAUAUAGCCAUUAUUAACUAUGUGAGCUUGGACAAGUAGCUUCAACUCAGUCUCCUCGGGAGUUCCUGUUGUGGCUCAGUGGUAACAAAUUUGACUAGUAUCCAUGAGGAUGUGGGUUUGGUCACUGGCCUUGCUUAGGUGGUUAAGGAUCCAGCAUUGCCAUGGGCUGUGGGGUAGGUCGCAGACUCUGCUUGGAUCCUUUGAUGUUGUAGCCGUGGUGUAGGCUGGCAGCUGCAGCUCUGAUUCAACCCCUAGCUUGGGGACUUCCAUAUUCUGCAAGUGUGGACCUAAAAAGACAAAAACGAAAAACACAAACAAAAACCUCAGUCCUCUCAUCCAUGAAGAAGGACUAUUUCAGGUGCAAUGAGUUAACAUAAGUGUAGGUCUUACAACAAUCCCUAAC
rnacentral:lncRNA from 1 species